AUGGCAUUCUCUCCUCCAGGCCAGCUCUCCCGGGCUUCUGCUCCCUCCCCAUCCCCACGCACGAGCUUGGGCUCAGGCUCUCCCCUCCAAUCUGAACAGGCCCGUCCCCCGCCAAGCUUCCCCACGGGAGACCCUCACAGGCUCCACGGGUCCAAAACCCCACGGGUCCCGCGGAUCUGCGGCUGCUCCUGGAUCCCUUCCCGCCGCGGAUCCCCGUUCACCCGGCUCUCCGCCCAGACGCCGGGCAGGCCCCGACCCUGCCCCCUGCACACGCCCGGUCCCCCAGCCCACCCCCCAGCUCUCUCUACACCCCCUCCUCUGCUCAUGCCGCAGCCCCGGCCCAAGGCCGACCCAGCAUCCAAGCCUCCCCCAGACCAGCUGGGCCUGGGCAAUCGGCGUGCUCCGCUUCACACCCUCGCGGGUGCAGCGCGGUCACUCCUCCGGUGUCCACCCCUAGGAGGUCUGAGGUCAGGAGGAAGAGCGCCAGGGCAGCGCUGUCCCUGGGUUCUGGCGCACAGACCGAGCCUGGGGACGAGCGAGGUCAGUCCACACUCGUCGGAACUUGAGAACCAGAAAACGAGAGCGAGAGCGCGCUUUGACCUUCUCUUCAGGGAUGGGAGGCUCUGGGCCACCGUCCCCAUCCGCCACACACAACAUGGCGGCGACCUGCGCCCUCUCCCGACUUCCGCUUCCGGUUCGGGGACACGUCACUUCCUCUCCGGUUGCCGUGGAGCGCUUUGGAAGCUAAGCGUCCUGCCUCCUCUGCUGCUUUGCUCUCCGCGAGUCUCGCCUCUGCUCCGGGGGGCGCGGAGCGAGCGGCUCCGAGGCUCUGCCGCCGGCGGCUUGGCGGUGUGUUCAUUCAUUGACUGGGCCCCCCAUCCCCCCACCUGCUGUCUGGGAACCUGCCCUCCUGUUUCUGAGACCACAUCCGGCGUGGGAAGAAGUCUUGAUUGGUUUUCAUGGAUGGCAGGCACCAUUCUUCACGCUUCUCACCCUUCUAUUGAAAUGGCAGUGAAAACUCAAGUGGAGGAAGCACUGAUAAAGGGGCAGCAAAGGCUACAGGAGACCAGAGUCGUCGACGGGUGGUCAAACAUGACGAUCUCUUGUACCUGA
rnacentral:lncRNA from 1 species